rnacentral:tRNA from 1 species
GCCGGGGUGGCGGAACUGGUAGACGCGCCGGACUCAAAAUCCGGUUCUGGCAACAGAGUGUGGGUUCGAUUCCCACCCUCGGCACCA